rnacentral:sRNA from 1 species
UUUUUUUCUUCUUCUUCG